rnacentral:snoRNA from 1 species
GGCCUCCUGGUGCUUACCACUGGCCAAGAUCUUACACUGACUGUAUAGAAAGAGAAAGCAAAGUUAACCUAUCCUAUACAGCCCAGCCCAGGCCCUGUGCCUGGUUUGUAUUGUAAAUGGGAAGACAUGG